rnacentral:rRNA from 1 species
GUGAACGCUGGCGGUAGGCCUAACACAUGCAAGUCGAACGGCAGCACAGUAAGAGCUUGCUCUUACGGGUGGCGAGUGGCGGACGGGUGAGGAAUACAUCGGAAUCUACUUUUUCGUGGGGGAUAACGUAGGGAAACUUACGCUAAUACCGCAUACGACCUACGGGUGAAAGCAGGGGAUCUUCGGACCUUGCGCGAUUGAAUGAGCCGAUGUCGGAUUAGCUAGUUGGCGGGGUAAAGGCCCACCAAGGCGACGAUCCGUAGCUGGUCUGAGAGGAUGAUCAGCCACACUGGAACUGAGACACGGUCCAGACUCCUACGGGAGGCAGCAGUGGGGAAUAUUGGACAAUGGGCGCAAGCCUGAUCCAGCCAUACCGCGUGGGUGAAGAAGGCCUUCGGGUUGUAAAGCCCUUUUGUCGGGAAAGAAAAGCAGCAGGUUAAUACCCCGCUGUUCUGACGGUACCCAAAGAAUAAGCACCGGCUAACUUCGUG